rnacentral:rRNA from 1 species
CCUACGGGUGGCAGCAGUGGGGAAUAUUGGGCAAUGGGCGCAAGCCUGACCCAGCAACGCCGCGUGAAGGAAGAAGGCUUUCGGGUUGUAAACUUCUUUUCUCAGGGACGAAGAAAGUGACGGUACCUGAGGAAUAAGCCACGGCUAACUACGGGACAGAAGCCGCGGUAAGACGGAGGAGGCAAGCGUUAUCCGGAUUUAUUGGGUGUAAAGGGCGUGUAGGCGGGAGCGCAAGUCAGAUGUGAAAACUCAGGGCUCAACCCUGAGCCUGCAUUUGAAACUGUGUUUCUUGAGUGCUGGUGAGGCAAGCGGAAUUCGGGGUGUAGCGGUGAAAUGCGUAGAUAUACGGAGGAACACCAGUGGCGAAGGCAGAUUGCUGGACAGUAACUGACACUGAGGCGCGAAAGCGUGGGGAGCAAACAGGAUUAGAUACCCGAGUAGUC